rnacentral:rRNA from 1 species
UGAGGAAUAUUGGACAAUGGGCGCAAGCCUGAUCCAGCCAUGCCGCGUGCAGGAAGACGCAUCUAUGGUGUGUAAACUGCUUUUGUACGGGAAGAAACACUCCUACGUGUAGGAGCUUGACGGUACCGUAAGAAUAAGGAUCGGCUAACUCCGUGCCAGCAGCCGCGGCAAUAAGGAGGAUCCAAGCGUUAUCCGGAAUCAUUGGGGUUAAAGGGUCCGUAGGCGGUUGCUCAAGUCUGCUGUUAAAGC